GGUCAGGCGGGACUACCCGCUGAAUUUAAGCA
rnacentral:rRNA from 5 species